AUCUUUUAUGUUUGGUUAGGUCAUAAAUUAGGUCACUUGAGGGUAUUUUUUUUCAUUCCCUAAAUUAAUUCUUUUUAUUUUUAUUGCUGUUUUUUCUUUAUUAUCCCUCUCUUUCUCCUUUUCCCCUUUCUCCACUCCCCAUUCAAAUGCCAACAGAAAAAACAGGGAUCCUUUUCUACAUGUUCUGAUCAGUAUCAGUCCAUACUGGUUGGUGCCAAACCCCAUUCCAUUUGGUACCAGUAAAUUACCAAUCAAUUACUGGGGGUUGGUCGAUAGGAGGAUUGGGGUUGCAGGUGCAACCAUGACCCGAUCAGUCACAGGUGCGAUUUUAGUCGCCUGGUACCAACAAGGUUUUAACAUUUGCUCUGAAGCAUGGCUCAGAGCAACCUUUCAAAGAAAUUGAUGAUGUCCAAACUCGAAUAAAUUUAAGAUAUUAAAUGUAAUGAUACAUUGAACAAUGGCUGGCAUGUGGGAGUAAAAGCAAAAGCAAAAUAGUGCAAUCAGGCAACAUCUCAAUGAGUUUUAAGAUACCAAAAAUUAAGAGAAAAUACACAAAGGAGAAGAGAAAUUUCUCAAACAAACUACAACCACUUAAAAUUAUAAAUGCUUUAAGAAAAAGAAUAAUUAGUCUCAUCAACAAAUAGAAAAGGCAUUAUGUUGUCAUCAAAGAGGGAGAUUUUUUGUAUGGAAGAUUCUUAAAUAGCUAAGCCACAAAUACAUAAAA
rnacentral:lncRNA from 1 species